AUUAGAUACCCUAUUAUUUUUAUUGUAAAAUUAUGAAAUCAGAGUAGUAGUAGUUAUGAUCUUGAAACUUAAAGAAUUUGGCGGUAUUAUAGUCUAUUUAGAGGAAUCUGUUAUGUAAUCGAUAGUCCACGUUGAACCUUACUUAUAUUAUUUCUUGUAUACCGCUGUUUAAGAAUAUUCUUUUAGGAUAUUUUCCGGAUAUAAAAAUAAUUAAAAUUUCAAGUCAAGGUGCAGUAAUAUAUAAGUUGAAUAAUGGAUUACAAUAAAUUUUAUUUAUUAUGGAUGGUUAUUGAAAAGUAAUUUGAAGGUGGAUUUAAUUGUAAUUUUAUAAAGAUUAUUAAAAUGAUUUAUAGCUCUAUAAUAUGCACACAUCGCCCG
rnacentral:rRNA from 1 species